AGGGUUCGAUUCUGGCUCAGAACGAACGCUGGCGGCAUGGAUUAGGCAUGCAAGUCGAACGAAGCAGCAAUGCUUAGUGGCGCAAGGGUGAGGAACACGUGAGUGACCUACCCGCAAGUUUGGAACAGCUCCUGGAAACGGGAAUUAAUACCGGAUGUGAUCAUGAAGCUGCAUGGUUUCAUGAUUAAAGCAGCAAUGCGCUUGCGGAUGGGCUCGCGUCCCAUUAGCUAGUUGGUGAGGUAACGGCCCACCAAGGCCAUGAUGGGUAGCUGGUCUGAGAGGACGACCAGCCACACUGGGACUGAGAACUGCCCAGACUCCUACGGGAGGCUGCAGUCGAGAAUUUUGGGCAAUGGACGAAAGUCCUGACCCAGCAAUGCCGCGUGCGGGAUGAAGGUCUUCGGAUUGUAAACCGCUGUUUGGAGGGACGAAAAUUGACGGUACUUCCAGAGGAAGCCACGGCUAACUACGUGCCAGCCGCGGC
rnacentral:rRNA from 1 species